UGUUCAGCUACUAUACUCGACGGGUGAAUGACAUGCUGCACCGGAGAAGCCAUUAAUAAUUAAUCGCGAUCGACAAAGCGCACAACCGACGCACCCUCAACAUGGGCGCAGGUACACAAAUCAACGGGCGAAAGCCCCGGCACCCUUCCAAAACGUUUCCAUCGGCGUGCGUCAGAGGGCAGCACAGUAAAAUGAAAAA
rnacentral:lncRNA from 1 species